rnacentral:rRNA from 1 species
GAUGAACGCUGGCGGCGUGCCUAAUACAUGCAAGUCGAGCGAACAGACGAGGAGCUUGCUCCUCUGACGUUAGCGGCGGACGGGUGAGUAACACGUGGAUAACCUACCUAUAAGACUGGGAUAACUUCGGGAAACCGGAGCUAAUACCGGAUAAUAUAUUGAACCGCAUGGUUCAAUAGUGAAAGACGGUUUUGCUGUCACUUAUAGAUGGAUCCGCGCCGCAUUAGCUAGUUGGUAAGGUAACGGCUUACCAAGGCAACGAUGCGUAGCCGACCUGAGAGGGUGAUCGGCCACACUGGAACUGAGACACGGUCCAGACUCCUACGGGAGGCAGCAGUAGGGAAUCUUACGCAAUGGGCGAAAGCUUGACGGAGCAACGCCGCGUGAGUGAUGAAGGUCUUCGGAUCGUAAAAAUCUGUUAUUAGGGAAGAACAAAUGUGUAAGUAACUAUGCACGUCUUGACGGUACCUAAUCAGAAAGCCACGGCUAACUACGUG